rnacentral:lncRNA from 1 species
CCUUAGAUCGGAACACUCAGCCGGUACGGUAUUUGAUAGGAUCUCUGGAUGGAGAAGUGAUGGAUCGAGGGAUCUCACGAAGGAUGCGGAAGGCCUUCGAUAUUUCCAAGUCUGAACAACGCCUGAUGUGACUCACAGGUCCGUUGUGGAGACUGACUUGACUAGAUCGCCGGAUGUGACUCACCGGUCCGAUUAGACAAGGUGUUUGCUCGGAUGCUAACCACACCAAAGUAAACUAAGAACAAGUUCUUUGCAAUGAACAAAGAGAGAAAACUUAAGAAGUUUUGAAGGGAAAAAUCGAUAUCUUUAUUCAGAAAUGAUGGAGUACUUAUACAAGUUUUAGUCAAAAUGAAAUAAAUCAUUUUGUGUGAAAAUAAGACAUAGAAAAUAUAACAAAGACCAGAUCUGGUCAAUACACAGAAAAUUAUGUUGACUGGCCAAAGUGAACCCUUUGCCUACUCUUGUCCAGAUUCGAUGAAUCUGGAUGCAUGUCCCGCGGUAAGGAGCAGUACAUGGUCCGGACGGUCUGCAUGAUCGGAUGAAGGAAACUCAUGAACUGAUGUGUUCCAAAUGUGUCCAAUAUCUUCAGAGAGCUUAAGUAUCCUUCCCCUUGAGAAGCUCAGAUGAUCAAACUGAAGAAUCGGAUCAAACUGGUAAGUCGGAUUUUCAGAACGUUCGGCGGUACGUUCGGCAGUGCCCGCGGUAAGAGCCAGUCGGGUCAGAAAUGAGAAGCUGCGGUCUGAUUCGAAAUCGGUGCGUUCGGAUGAGAGUUUGGCUUGAUCGAUCUUCCUAACUUGACGAGUUGGUCGGGGUAGCCGAGCUUCAGUACGGUCAGAUCGAUCGUCUGGACGUGGAUCCAAACGAAGCUCCAUUCCGGACGUACGCGGGUCGAUCCGGUACACGGCCCGGUCAGUGCGUUCGGUACGGUCGUCCGGAUGAACCUCUGUUGAAUAUCUCGUACUGUUCUGAUCUUCAUGUUGGACUUGUCCAACGGACUGCUCCAUGAUCUGAGGUGCAUCAUUCCCUCCUCCUUUAAGAGGAUUUGUCCACAAAUCCGGAACAUCUACAAGAAAAGGAGAUAAAUCAGAAACGUUGAAGCUUGAAGAGAUAUCAUAAUUACCUUUCAGAUCCAAUUGAUACGCAUUGUCACUGAUUUUUCUGAUGAUCUGAAAUGGUCCGUCCACACGGGGCAUGAGCUUAGAUUUUCUUUCUUCCGGAAAACGUUCCUUCCUCAAGUGAACCCAAACCAAAUCUCCUUCUUCAAAAACGACCUCCUUACGUUUCUUGUUGGCUUGUCGAGUGUACCUUUCUGUUCUGGCCAUGAUGUUAGCUCGGACCCGUUCAUGCAUCUUCUUUAUUGUGUCCGCCUUCUUCUUGCCAUCUGUGCUAACACGUUCACUCAAAGGAAGAGGUAAAAGAUCAAGUGGAGAAAGAGGAUUAAACCCAUACACAACCUCAAAAGGUGAAAACUGAGUAGCUGAAUGCAUAGAAUGGUUAUAAGCAAAUUCCACAUGCGGCAAACAUUCUUCCCAAGUUUUCAAGUUUUUCUUUAUCAAAGACCUAAGCAAGGCAGAUAGUGAACGGUUCACAACCUCAGUUUGUCCAUCAGUUUGAGGAUGACAAGUAGUAGAGAACAUCAAUUUAGUGCCUAAUUUAGACCACAAAGUUUUCCAAAAGUAGCUAAGGAACUUAGCAUCUCUAUCUGAAACGAUAGUCUUAGGCAUUCCAUGCAACCUAACCACUUCUCUAAAGAACAGUUCAGCAAUGUGAGUAGCAUCAUCAGUCUUAUGGCAUGCAAUGAAAUGAGACAUCUUUGAAAAUCUAUCAACCACAACAAAGAUGGAAUCCUUACCUGACUUGGAUCGCGGCAAUCCAAGUACAAAGUCCAUAGAAAUGUCUACCCAUGGAUGAGAAGGGAUGGGUAGAGCUGUAUACAAACCUUGGUUCAAGACUUUGGAUUUAGACUUUUUGCACACAACACAUCGACUGCAAAUCCUCUCAACAUCUUUCAUGAGACCCGGCCAAUAGAAAUGAUCGAACACAACCUUGUAGGUUUUCUUCACACCAAAGUGUCCCAUCAAGCCACCUCCGUGUGCUUCCCUGACAAACAACUCCCUCAAAGAACAUUGGGGAACACACAAGCGGUUAUCAUAAAACAAGAAACCAGCAACCUGAUAAUACUUCCCAUAAGCAGUUUUGGAACUCUUUUUGAAAACCUCUUUGAAAUCCGGAUCAGAUGCAUAAAUCUCUUUGAUAAAUUCAAAUCCAAGAAGUUUGGUCUCAAGAGCUGAAAGGAGAACAUACCUGCGUGACAAGGCAUCGGCCACAACAUUUUCCUUACCUUGUUUAUACUUGAUCACGUAUGGAAAUGUCUCAAUGAAUUCAACCCAACGAGCAUGGCGCUUGUUAAGCUUCUGUUGUCCCUUCAAAUGUUUCAGGGACUGAUGGUCGGUAUGAAUGACGAAUUCCUUGGGCCAAAGGUAGUGCUGCCAAGUUUGAAGUGCUCUCACCAAAGCAUAAAGCUCCUGGUCGUAGGUUGGGUAAUUCAAGGUAGCUCCUCCAAGUUUUUCACUAAAGUAUGCGAUGGGUUUCCUAUCCUGCAUAAGAACAGCACCAAUACCCACUCCGGAAGCAUCACACUCAAUCUCAAAAGUUUUAGAAAAAUCGGGUAAAGCAAGAAGAGGGGCUUGAGUUAACUUCUCUUUUAGGAUUUGGAAAGCUUCCUGCUGAGGUUGUUCCCACUUGAAACCCACAUUCUUCUUGAUAACCUCAGUGAGAGGAGCGGCUAUAGAACUGAAGUCUUGGACGAACCGUCGAUAGAAACCAGCAAGGCCAUGGAAGCUUCGAACCUCACUUACGGACUUAGGAAUGGGCCAGUCGCGGAUGGCUUUGACCUUUUCUUCAUCAACCUUCAGGCCAUCUUUUCCUACAACAAAACCUAGGAAAACAACUUGAUCUGUACCAAAAGAACACUUUCCAAGGUUAGCAAACAAACGUUCGUCCCUAAGGACUUCAAGAACGGCUCUCAAAUGCCUUUGAUGUUCCUCAUGGUUUUUGCUAUAAACAAGAAUAUCAUCAAAAUACACAACAACGAAAUGACCAAUAAAGGAUCUCAACACAUGGUUCAUCAGACGCAUGAAAGUACUAGGUGCAUUAGUCAAACCAAAAGGCAUAACUAACCAUUCAUACAAUCCUAGUUUUGUUUUAAAGGCCGUUUUCCAUUCAUCUCCCUCUUUCAUUCUAAUCUGGUGGUAUCCACUUUUCAAGUCUAUCUUAGAAAAGACACAAGCACCAUGAAGUUCAUCAAGCAUGUCAUCAAGACGAGGGAUGGGAUGGCGAUACUUUACCGUGAUGUUGUUUAUGGCCCGACAGUCCACACACAUCCUCCACGACCCAUCUUUCUUUGGCACGAGUAGGACAGGUACAGCACAUGGGCUGAGGCUUUCUCGGAUGUAUCCUUUGUCAAGAAGAUCAUCAAUCUGCUUUUGGAGUUCCUUGGUCUCGACGGGGUUAGUGCGGUACGCUGGUCGGUUUGGCAAGGACGCGCCUGGAACGAGAUCGAUCUGAUGUUCAAUGCCACGGAUUGGAGGCAAUCCUUUUGGAUUUUCUUCAGGAAAUACAUCAGAAAACUCCUGCAAUAAUCCUUUCAAAUCACUCGGAAUGUCCGGUGCAAGGUGAGAAGAAGAUGAGGCCAUAAGAGAUUCCUUAUAAACAAGCAAAAGGAAUGGCUUUUUGGUGGCAAGGGUUUUUCUUACCUGACCUUGUUUGAUGUAGAAGUUGGAAUUUCUUGCUGAUGCCUCAGGUUUGGAGUCUUGUUCUCGUCCCUUCUUAAGUUGGAUUUGAUCUUGGUGAACUUCUAAGGGAGAAAGGGGAACCAAGGUGAUUUUCUUUCCAUUGUGUUCAAAGGAGUGGCGGUUUGUGUAGCCAUCAUGGACAGCCUUCUUGUCGAACUGCCAAGGUCGACCCAAAAGAAUGUGACAAGCGUCCAUGGGAAGGACGUUACACACGACCUCAUCCUCGUACCGUCCGAUAGUGAUCGGAACAGUCACCUGUUCCUUGACGUAUUGCUCUCCGUCCUCAUUCAACCAUUCCAACCUGAAAGGUUUGGCAAGUGGACGUGUAACAAGUCCAAGUUUCUUCACCAAGGUAUCACUAGCCACGUUGGUACAGCUGCCACCAUCUAUAAUCAAAGAGCAAACUUUAGAAGAAACAAAACAUCUAGAGUGAAAGAGAUUCUCCCUUUGUUCCUUCUCGUCGGUUUUAGGCUGAACACUUAAGGAUCGUCUAGUGACAAGAAGAGGACCAGUAGCUGGAAAGCUGAGAUUGUCCUCGUCGUAGACCGGUCCUGUUUCUUUAACAAACGAGGAACAGAACUCAUCAAUUACUUCCUCAAUUUCGUCCUCUAAGAUCGGUUCCUCCAAGAGCUUUCUUGUAACAAGAAGUGGUCCACUGGCUGGGUAAUCAAAGGGCUCUUCUUCCUCAUCAAAAAUGGGACCAAGGUCCUCUUUUUCCUCUUUGUCCUCCUCGGAUUCUACAUCACCAUUUUCCAAAAGAACCAUCACCCGCUGGUUUGGACAUUUGUUGGCAUAGUGUCCGAGGCCCUGACACUUGAAACACCUUAUGUCUCUUGUUCUGCUGGGGUUUUCCACUGCUUUUCCUUUAUCCACACGAGUAGGAACAUCAGUUUUCAAAGCAGUAUUUGUUGUGGCAGGAUACUUACCUUUGUCUUGGUAGCUAGGCUUAGAUGGAAAAGGUGAUUUUGAAGGGAAGGUGGAUUUGGAGAGUCCUUUCCUUUUGACUUGCUGCUCAAUCAGGAUAGCCUUGUGUAGCAUCUGUUCCAUGUCACUAUAAUCCUGAAGUUCCAUGCGGUCUUGGAUGUCCCGGUUGAGUCCAGUGAGGAAUCUAGCCAUGGUUGCGUCUACAGGUUCAUCCACAUCAGCCUUAAGCAUCAAAGUCUCCAUUUCCUGAUGGUAGUCCUCAACCGACUUUGUUCCCUGAAGUAGCCUCCUGAGUUUGUGGUGUAGGUCGCGUUGGUAAUGGUCCGGUACGAAGCGUUUCCGCAUAAGCGUAAUAAGCCCCAACCAAGUCUCCACUGGUGCUUCACCUGUUCUCCUCCUGUGAGUCACAACUCGGUCAUACCAGUUAAUAGCAUAGCCAGAAAAUUCAGAAGCUGCUAACCUAACCUUCCUAAUAUCAGACAAGUUUUGACAAUCAAAAACCAGUUCAAUUUUCCUUUCCCAUUCUAAAAAGACAUCAGGAUCAUUCUUUCCUUCAAAGCUUGGAAUUUUCAAUUUCAAAGCACCCAACCCAUUUUCAUUUCGUUCAGCUCUAGCAAAAGGAUUGACUUCACCUGGGUUUCGGUUUCUAUGUCCUCUCCUGGGUCGGUUGAUGGAUUGAUCAUCGUUGGUAUCUUCGUCAAAGAUUUCUAGAUCGGAUUGGCUGUUCCGUCUAGGUUGAGCUCGUCUGGUUCCGGUUCUAGAUCUGGUUUGUUGGCUCUCCUGAAUCUCAUCUAACCUUUGAUGGAUCUGCUCAAGUCCUGCAUUCAUAAGGUUAGUAAAAGUAUCGUUUAAAGCCCUCAUUUGGAGGUUUGAGAGUCCGGCUACAGAAUUUCCGGGACGGUUCCGUUCUUCCUCACUGCUCAUGGUUCUUCCUGAAAUUCUCAACAAUAAACGUUAGGGUAACAAAUACCUCACACUCUCAAGUGUUUGUUUCCUCUCCCACUCACGUGUUUCUCUCAAAGAUUUGAAGUGGUUCACACAAGAUUUUGGUUUGUUCUCAAAGUUCAGAGAAAGACAAGUCCGAAGAUACUCAGUGGGUCAGAUCCAAUCAAACAAGGGUCACAAGAGAAGGUAGAUAAGAGAUUACAAGGGGAACCCGCCUUAACCAACUCAAAGGCCGGAUUACUCUUCAGCCAGCAGGCUUUCUCUUCCACCACCACCACAAUCUUUCUUAUUUUUUUUUUUUUUAUAUACUGUUUCUUUUCUUUUUUUUUUUUUUUAUAUGGUGGUAAUGAGUGGCCCGGGUUCAAGAUAGAUAGAAGAAGAACUUUUUAAAUGAAGAAGAUGGUAGAUGAGAAGAUGGAAUGAGAAGAUGAUACCGGUUGAGUGGCUCUGAUACCACUUUGAUAGACCCUUAGAUCGGAACACUCAGCCGGUACGGUAUUUGAUAGGAUCUCUGGAUGGAGAAGUGAUGGAUCGAGGGAUCUCACGAAGGAUGCGGAAGGCCUUCGAUAUUUCCAAGUCUGAACAACGCCUGAUGUGACUCACAGGUCCGUUGUGGAGACUGACUUGACUAGAUCGCCGGAUGUGACUCACCGGUCCGAUUAGACAAGGUGUUUGCUCGGAUGCUAACCACACCAAAGUAAACUAAGAACAAGUUCUUUGCAAUGAACAAAGAGAGAAAACUUGAGAAGUUUUGAAGGGAAAAAUCGAUCAUCUUUAUUCAGAAAUGAUGGAGUACUUAUACAAGUUUUAGCCAAAAUGAAAUAAAUCAUUUUGUGUGAAAAUAAGACAUAGAAAAUAUAACAAAGACCAGAUCUGGUCAAUACACAGAAAAUUAUGUUGACUGGCCAAAGUGAACCCUUUGCCUACUCUUGUCCAGAUUCGAUGAAUCUGGAUGCAUGUCCCGCGGUAAGGAGCAGUACAUGGUCCGGACGGUCUGCAUGAUCGGAUGAAGGAAACUCAUGAACUGAUGUGUUCCAAAUGUGUCCAAUAUCUUCAGAGAGCUUAAGUAUCCUUCCCCUUG